CACCUGUUGUCCCAGCUACUUGGGAGGCUGAGGCAGGAGAAUUGUUUGAACUGGGAGGCGGAGGUUGCAGCGAGCGAAGAUCAGGGCACUGCACUCCAGCCUGGGCAACAGAGUGAGACUCUGCCUCAAAAAAAAAAAAAAAAAAAAGAAAGAAAAGAAAAAGAAAAAAGCAGGGUACAGUGUUCCAUAAAAAGCCCUUUCUGAAACUGAACUAAUGUGAUGGCAAUGACUGAAACAAGAGAUGACUAAUCAAAAAAAGAUUCAUAGACAGGAGUCCUGAACUGUGUCUUGAAGAAGAUUCACGUGUUCAGAGAAUAUGGGAAAAGUUGAACCAUGAAGAAUUACAGUAUGCAUUUCAUUCCCAAGAGAUUAAAAACUAUGUCUGAGUGGGAAGACACAGUUUAAUUUGCAAUCUGGAAGAAGUGUGGGAGACAAGACAAAAAAUGAUGGGUUUGUGCUGCGUUUAUGAGCUGUAACACUCACUGCGAAAGUUUGCAGCUUUACUUCUGAAGCCAGCAAGACCACGAACCCGCAGGGAGGGACAGACAACUGGGAAUGGAAAGAAGGAACAACUCUGGGCGCUUUGUGAACUGUCACACUCACGGCGAAAGUUUGCAGCUUCACUCCUGAGGCCAGCGAGACAACAACCCCACCGGAGGGAACGAACAACUCCAGAUGCGCCACCUUUAGGAGCUGUAACACUCACCGCAAAGGUCUGCAACUUCACUCCUGAAGCCAGUGAGACUAUGAGCCCAACAAAAGGAAGAAACUCCGGACACAUCUGAACAUCUGAAGGAACAAACGCUGGACACACCAUCUUUAGGAACUGUUAACACUCACCACAAGGGUCUACGGCUUCAUUUUUGAAGUCAGCGAGACCAAGAACCCACCAAUUUCGAACACAGUAGGGCGGGAAUUAUGAGCUAUACUUUCUGUCACUUAGCAGUGAAGAGCCUGUCUUAAGACUAGUAAGUAGCAGGACUAGCACUCCCUCCCAGGUCUCUGAGCUCAUGUUCACUGCUAUUAUCUGUCACGUGUUCAGCGUCAGGGUUUUUUCUCCUUUCCCAAGCAGCAAAGGCUUUUCACAAUUGUGUUGCAAAGACCACACCAGAAACAAGACAUACAAUACUUGGUAACAUUUUCUGCUUCACCGAUGGAGGACUACAGCAACAUGUGAGGUUUUCUGGCCUUUAAUUUCUUUGAAAAGGUCAAAACUGUUAAAAAGGAACUACUUACUACUGUAUUUUGCUAAAAAACAAACAUUGCAACAUUUCAGCUUUCAACUUAGAACAUAGGAACAUUGCCUCCUGCGAUUUUGAUUUUAGAUAACCAACUGCAAAUUCUGAUACAACUCCUGGCUGACCUUAUCAGUUUAUAUCUAGGGAUGUUCUAAUUAAGAAAAAAAUUGAAUUCAUUACUUUAUCAUACUUUUACACAACCAUAGAUUUCCCAACUUCCUACCACAGUAGGACGCACUGUGGCAACGUAUCAAUAUAAACACACUAUGGAAAAUUCUAAACCAAACCUGAUGGGAAAUGCACAUCAUACUAUUUGGGCUAUGAAAAAAAAAAAAAAACACAACCUUGAGGAAGUCUUUUCUGAUUUUAUUUUCACUGCACUUUACUAUAUGCUGGUAGAGUUUCAGUACAUGUGAGCGCUGAGGCCCUCAAAGUAAAAAUAUGGAGGUCUUGAGGUCAGACCAGCUAGCCUGCUGUCAAUUCAUUUCCUGUGCCAAGGUUACACUGAAGAUAGUUUUAAAGCUUUGAUGUAAACAGAGCAAGAUUAAAAAGAAAAUUUGAAGAAAACAAACUUUGAGGAAAAUAAAGACCAUAAUUAUUACAUUAAAAACUCUGCCCUUUGUGCCUUAAUAUGACAUAUCACAAAAAUGCCAUUUUAAUUGUUUUACCAUAUAUUUAAAUGUUUUGUAUUUGUUGUUAUUCCC